AUUGAACGCUGGCGGCAGGCCUAACACAUGCAAGUCGAGCGCGCGGCGGACGGGUGAGUACUGUGUGGGAAACUGCCUGAUGGAGGGGGAUAACUACUGGAAACGGUAGCUAAUCCCGCCUACCAUCAGAUGUGCCCAGCUUGGCUGAGCUAGUAGGUGGGGUAAUGGCUCACACAGGCGACGCUCCCUAGCUGGUCUGAGAGGAUGACCAGCAACACUGGAACGUAGACACGGUCCAGACUCCUACGGGAGGCAGCAGUGGGGAAUAUUGCACAAUGGGCGCAAGCCUGAUGCAGCCAUGCCGCGUGUGUGAAGAAGGCCUUCGGGUUGUAAAGCACUUUCAGCGGGGAGGCGUUACCCGCAGAAGAAGCACCGGCUAACUCCGUGCCAGCAGCCGCGGUAAUUC
rnacentral:rRNA from 1 species